UACGAAGGGGGGCUAGCGUUGCUCGGAAUCACUGGGCGUAAAGGGUGCGUAGGCGGGUCUUUAAGUCAGGGGUGAAAUCCUGGAGCUCAACUCCAGAACUGCCUUUGAUACUGAAGAUCUUGAGUUCGGGAGAGGUGAGUGGAACUGCGAGUGUAGAGGUGAAAUUCGUAGAUAUUGGGAAGAACACCGGUGGCGAAGGCGGCUCACUGGCUCAUAUCUGACGCUCAGGCGCGACAGCGUGGGGGAUCAAACAGG
rnacentral:rRNA from 1 species